GGGUAAUUAGCUCAAUUGGUAGAGCGUCUCCUUUACACGGAGAGGGUUGAUGGUUCGAGUCCGUCAUUACCCA
rnacentral:tRNA from 1 species